rnacentral:rRNA from 1 species
ACGAACGCUGGCGGCGUGCUUAACACAUGCAAGUCGAACGGAAAGGCCCCUUUGGGGGUACUCGAGUGGCGAACGGGUGAGUAACACGUGAGUAACCUGCCCUUGACUUCGGGAUAACUUCAGGAAACUGGGGCUAAUACCGGAUAGGAAUCCUUGCUGCAUGGUGGGGGUUGGAAAGCUUCGGCGGUUUUGGAUGGACUCGCGGCCUAUCAGCUUGUUGGUGGGGUAGUGGCUUACCAAGGCUUUGACGGGUAGCCGGCCUGAGAGGGCGACCGGCCACAUUGGGACUGAGAGACGGCCCAGACUCCUACGGGAGGCAGCAGUGGGGAAUAUUGCACAAUGGGCGGAAGCCUGAUGCAGCAACGCCGCGUGCGGGAUGACGGCCUUCGGGUUGUAAACCGCUUUCAGCAGGGGCGAAGCUUGUGGUGACGGUACCUGCAGAAGAAGCACCGGCUAACUACGUG